rnacentral:rRNA from 1 species
AACGAACGCUGGCGGCAUGCCUAACACAUGCAAGUCGAACGAGACCUUCGGGUCUAGUGGCGCACGGGUGCGUAACGCGUGGGAACCUGCCCUUAGGUUCGGAAUAACUCCCCGAAAGGGGUGCUAAUACCGGAUAAUGUCUUCGGACCAAAGAUUUAUCGCCCUUGGAUGGGCCCGCGUUGGUUUAGCUAGUUGGUAGGGUAAAAGCCUAUCAAGGCGACGAUCCAUAGCUGGUCUGAGAGGCAGAUCAGCCACACUGGGACUGAGACACGGCCCAGACUCCUACGGGAGGGAGCAGAGGGGGAUAUAGGACGAUGGGGUGAAGCCUGAACCAGCAAUGCCGGGUAAGUGAUGAAGGCCUUAGGGUUGUGAAGCACUUUUACCCGGGAUGAUAAUGACAGUACCGGGAGAAUAAGCUCCGGCUAACUCCGUG